AUUGAACGCUGGCGGCAGGCCUAACACAUGCAAGUCGAACGGUAACAGGAAGCAGCUUGCUGCUUCGCUGACGAGUGGCGGACGGGUGAGUAAUGUCUGGGAAGCUGCCUGAUGGAGGGGGAUAACUACUGGAAACGGUAGCUAAUACCGCAUAAUGUCGCAAGACCAAAGAGGGGGACCUUCGGGCCUCUUGCCAUCGGAUGUGCCCAGAUGGGAUUAGCUUGUUGGUGGGGUAACGGCUCACCAAGGCGACGAUCCCUAGCUGGUCUGAGAGGAUGACCAGCCACACUGGAACUGAGACACGGUCCAGACUCCUACGGGAGGCAGCAGUGGGGAAUAUUGCACAAUGGGCGCAAGCCUGAUGCAGCCAUGCCGCGUGUAUGAAGAAGGUCUUCGGGUUGUAAAGUACUUUCAGCGGGGAGGAAGGGAGUAAAGUUAAUACCUUUGCUCAUUGACGUUACCCGCAGAAGAAGCACCGGCUAACUCCGU
rnacentral:rRNA from 1 species